GCAAGUUGCGUAUUGCGAAGGACAGUAUGCGGAAGAUGCGAUUGGCAGAAGGCUUGAACUUGGCGA
rnacentral:misc_RNA from 1 species